rnacentral:ncRNA from 1 species
GCUAAGGAGUGUGUAACAACUCACCUGCCGAAGCAACUAGCCCUUAAAAUGGAUGGCGCUUAAGUUGUAUACCUAUACAUUACCGCUAAAGUAGAUGAUUUAUAUUACUUGUGAUAUAAAUUUUGAAACUUUAGUGAGUAGGAAGGUACAAUGGUAUGCGUAGAAGUGUUUGGCGUAAGCCUUCAUGGAGCUGCCAUUGGCACAGAUCUUGGUGGUAGUAGCAAAUAAUCGAAUGAGACCUUGGAGGACUGAAGUGGAGAAGGGUUUCGUGUGAACAGUGGUUGAUCACGAGUUAGUCGGUCCUAAGUUCAAGGCGAAAGCCGAAAAUUUUCAAGUAAAAAAUCAGUGAGUAAUAUUGUCAAAUCUUUUAUGAUUUUUAAAUACUUGAAUAAUUUUGAACGAAAGGGAAUACGGUUCCAAUUCCGUAACCUGUUGAGUAUCCGUUUGUUAUUAAAUAUGGGCCUCGUGCUCAUCCUGGCAACAGGAACGACCAUAAAGAAGCCGUCGAGAGAUAUCGGAAGAGUUUUCUUUUCUGUUUUAUAGCCGUACUACCAUGGAAGUCUUUCGCAGAGAGAUAUGGGUAGAUGGGCUAGAAGAGCAUGACAUAUACUGUUGUGUCGAUAUUUUCUCCUCGGACCUUGAAAAUUUAUGGUGGGGACACGCAAACUUCUCAACAGGCCGUACCAAUAUCCGCAGCUGGUCUCCAAGGUGAAGAGUCUCUAGUCGAUAGAAUAAUGUAGGUAAGGGAAGUCGGCAAAUUAGAUCCGUAACUUCGGGAUAAGGAUUGGCUCUGAAGAUUGAGAUAGUCGGGCUUGAUUGGGAAACAAUAACAUGGUUUAUGUGCUCGUUCUGGGUAAAUAGAGUUUCUAUCAUUUAUGGUAGUUACUUGUUCCCCGGAUAGUUUAGUUACGUAGCCAAUUGUGGAACUUUCUUGCUAAAAUUUUUAAGAAUACUAAUUGGGUUAAACCAGUUAGUUCUUAUUAAUUAUAACGAUUAUCAAUUAACAAUCAAUUCAGAACUGGCACGGACUUGGAGAAUCCGACUGUCUAAUUAAAACAAAGCAUUGUGAUGGCCCUAGCGGGUGUUGACACAAUGUGAUUUCUGCCCAGUGCUCUGAAUGUCAAAGUGAAGAAAUUUGGAAGAUAUGGGUCUUGGAAGAUAUGGGUCUGAAUAAUAGCGUAGAAGGGGAGUCAUUCCGUAAUUCGUAAAUCGUAAAAAUCAGAUCAAGUUGAUUCAAGACCUCCUCGUGGUAUCUUCUGGAUGCUAUUAGACUGAAGU